rnacentral:rRNA from 1 species
GUGCUGCAUGGCUGUCGUCAGCUCGUGUCGUGAGAUAUUGGUAAGUCCCGCAACGAGCGCAACCCUUAUCCCCAGUUGCCAUCAGGUAAAGCUGGGAACGUCUGGGGAGACUGCCGGUGAUAAACCGGAGGAAGGCGGGGAUGACGUCAAGUCCUCAUGGCCCUUACAUCCCGGGCUACACACGUGCUACAAUGGCAGGUACAGAGGGCUGCGAAGCCGCGAGGUGGAGCGAAUCCCAGAAAACCUGUCUCAGUCCGGAUUGAAGUCUGCAACUCGACUUCAUGAAGGCGGAAUCGCUAGUAACCGCGAAUCAGCAGGUCGCGGUGAAUACGUUCCCGGGCCUU